AGAGCGAACGCUGGCGGCAGGCCUAACACAUGCAAGUCGAACGGACCCUUCGGGGUUAGUGGCGGACGGGUGAGUAACACGUGGGAACGUGCCUUUUGGUUCGGAAUAGCUCCUGGAAACGGGUGGUAAUGCCGAAUGUGCCCUUCGGGGGAAAGAUUUAUCGCCAUUAGAGCGGCCCGCGUCUGAUUAGCUAGUUGGUGAGGUAAAGGCUCACCAAGGCUACGAUCAGUAGCUGGUCUGAGAGGAUGACCAGCCACAUUGGGACUGAGACACGGCCCAAACUCCUACGGGAGGCAGCAGUGGGGAAUCUUGCGCAAUGGGCGAAAGCCUGACGCAGCCAUGCCGCGUGAAUGAUGAAGGUCUUAGGAUUGUAAAAUUCUUUCACCGGGGACGAUAAUGACGGUACCCGGAGAAGAAGCCCCGGCUAACUUCGUGCCAGCAGCCGC
rnacentral:rRNA from 1 species